UAAGCGGAGGAAAAGAAACUAACAAGGAUUCCCCUAGUAACUGCGAGUGAAGCGGGAAAAGCUCAANUUUAAAUCUGGUGGUCUUUGGCCAUCCGAGUUGUAAUCUAGAGAAGCGUCUUCCGCGCUGGACCGUGCACAAGUCUCCUGGAACGGAGCGUCGUAGAGGGUGAGAAUCCCGUCUUUGGCAUGGACACACCAGGGCUUUUGUGAUGCGCUCUCGAAGAGUCGAGUUGUUUGGGAAUGCAGCUCAAAAUGGGUGGUGAACUCCAUCUAAAGCUAAAUAUUGGCGAGAGACCGAUAGCGAACAAGUACCGUGAGGGAAAGAUGAAAAGCACUUUGGAAAGAGAGUGAAACAGUACGUGAAAUUGUUGAAAGGGAAACGCUUGAAGUCAGUCGCGUCGACCGGGACUCAGCCUCGCCUCGGCUUGGUGUACUUCUCGGCCCGACGGGUCAGCAUCAAUUUCGCCUCUUGGAUAAUGGCGAGGGAAACGUGACACCUUUACGGUGUGUUAUAGUCUCUCGUCGCAUGCAAGGGUCGGGAUUGAGGAACUCAGCACGCGCCUUUGGGUGUCGGGGCUUUGCCUACGAUACGUGCUUAGGAUGUUGGCGUAAUGGCUUUAAACGACC
rnacentral:rRNA from 1 species